GGUGUAUUGCAUUUUCCAAAGUUAGCAACAAACGGAAUCUCUGACCGACUGACCUUCUGAUCUUUGCAUGACCAGCUCUGACUAUCCUCCUGUACAGAGGUAUAGGGCCGAUGUGCCACUCUGGGAAACAUCAUCCUUCCUGCCUCCUCGAAAUCACACAUGGCCAUGCGACUUGCUGUCAGCAACACAAUCCGAGGACAAACAAUAUGUGACAGGGUCUCAUUGCUGGGUUCCAUUAUUUGCCAGUACUUCUGGAAGAUGUGGAAAUGCUGUCUCUGCAGGUCAUGUUGGACAUGUGACAGGAGCAAAAAACAGCCUUCUGUUUUCAACCACUGAAAUUUGGGAGAUGUUUGUCACUACAGCAUAUUGUAUCCUGACUGAUGCACACACACACACACUGUUCCAGGUGCUGUGCAUGGCUCAGAGGAGGUUUUUGCUUAUGGACUGAACACUGUAGACUCCAGGGUCCUUGUCCUCUCCCUGUCCUAUCUCAUGGCCUUCCCAGCAAACUCAGAGAAGCUGCUCUCAAUUCAGGGCUUACUCGGUUUUACUUUUCCAGAAGCUCUCAGUGCCAGGAGACUAUGCUGCUGACCAGAUCUAGGGCAAGAUGGGCUCGCCCCAGUUCUGGGCCAGCCCCUGGGGGCAGUGGCCUUAAGCAUCAAGGCUAUCUGGGUUUAGAACAUUAUAGCUGAGCCCACCCUAAAAAUGCUUGGUACAUUUACAUUAGCCUACAGUUGGGUAAAAUCAUCUUACACAGCGCUUAUCGAUAAUCAAGUGUGGACUGUCUCAUAUAAUUUAUUAAUUACAUAUGAUAAAGUGUUGGCUGCCUCAAUCAUUUAUUAAUUCUUCACUGACAGUGAAGAACAGAAUGGUUGUGAGGGUGUCAGCUGCUUAUCCUUCCAAUUGUCAGCUGCCACUGCCACCGCCCAGCAUCACAAGAGAGCAACAUAUUGUGGAUCGCUAACUCAGAAAAAGUUCAAGAUUCAAAAUUCAAACCAUGGUUUCUACCAAAUAUGUGUUGCUUUAGCCCCACUAUAAAGUCAAAAAAAUCAUUAAGUUGAGUCAGGCCCCUUCUGUAUUU
rnacentral:lncRNA from 1 species